GAGCAAAUUAAUUCUUUGGCUCGAUCAAUCCGAGCCUACUUCCCAAACCUGCUAAUUAACCCUCACACGUAUUUUACCUGUAUACAAAGCCGCAACACCUCUGCAACUUCACAUACAGACACUCUAGCUUCUCCCCGAUCCCCGUUCAGUGUCUAUGUUCUCAUCCACUCCUCCAUCACUCUCAUUCGAUCAACCCCACCAAACAGUUACUAUACCACGCAGAUCCCGCACUCUUUCCUCAUUUUCUUCAUCUAGGACUUCUGUCGAAUACAUUGCCUACGAUGCUCAAAUUGAUGAAAUAUGGGAUUUUCCCCUUUCUGGUGACAAAGAUAUGUUCAGUUUUAAUUCGAGAUUUGGUUUGGCUGAGAUGAACAAGCCGGGUUCGAGUUCGGGGUCUUUUCCGGUUGAAGUUAAGGAAUUGGAGGAACUUCCUGAACGAUGGAGGAGAUCGAAGCUGGCUUGGUUGUGUAAAAGGCUUCCCGCGCAUAAGCAAUGUGUGCUUGUUCGGGAGUGGGCUAGGCAAGAAGAUGCUUCUUAUCUUGCUGUUUAUUGUUUACGAAUAUGGGAGAAUGAGAUUGCCUUUAGUUUGCAGGCGGAGUUUUCCUGGGAAUUGUUGUGCUGCAGUUUCUUUGUGAUUUGAAUGAGUUUUUUGACAAGUUGAGGUCAUAUGAUUACCCUUUUACGUUCAUGCUGGCUGUUUCUGGGUAUUUGUUGGCAAUGUUGGCGGAUUUUGUGUGUGUUUAUGUGUAUAGAAAGCGAAAACAAAGAGAUACUGGUCAUAUUGUUUGAAAUUGGAGUAGCUUCAUUGAAAGUUUUUCAAGUUAGUGCCGUCAUUGCAAUGUUGGCAAAAUCCUCGUGUCCUCAAUGCUCUUAGUUCAAUCUCAUGUUUGGGCUGGACUCUUUAAUCCCUAAUGAAACGUGGUCGAAAUAGGUAUAUAAAUGGAUGAGGCAACAGUACUGUUUCAAUUUCAUUUUGCUCUUGCCACUAAGCUAGCAUAUUACAUGGGCAAAUACCGCAAACACUUAAAAUGUCAGGAUAUAUUUGAUGACAUUAUUCAACAAGGACCGGUGCCUGUUGAAUCUACAUUUUACAUUCUGACAGGUGCUUAUCUUAGCUCAUCUUCUCAAGGUUGCCUGGAGCGAGCAUGCACCACCUGCAAUGGCAUGAUUCAGUUAGGAUGAUACAAGCCCCGACUUAGUUUGCACAAUUCUCUAUUCAAAGCUCUUGUUAGCAAUCCAAGAGACUCUGCGAAACAUAACUUAAAUUGAAUUUGCUUAUCACUAUUUCUUGACAUUUGGGCCUGAGAUACACGAGGAUAUAUAUUGUGGUUUAGUUUGGCUACUAAGCCAUCAGGAUGUAGUAGAAAAAGAAAGAAUUGCAUCACUCAGAGCGGAGAUGAAAGGAGCAAGUUUUGGAGAAAGCAAAGUUCAAUCUGUGAUUUGCCACACUAAGCUUUCAAUUGUAUUUGCGGGUUGGGAGAAAAAGAUUCCAGACGCUUGCAUUUUUAACCCAGGAUCUCGAGAUGCCAGUGCAUUGGAUAAUAUGGUAAAUUCUGGCCAGGACUUCCAUUGCCGCUUCAACUUGUAUAUGACAAACUAAAGCCUGUCGAAUUGUCCUAAAAGCUAUUUUUGAGAGGUUUACAAAGUUAAAGCCAUAAAUUUUUUUGGAACAGAACAAAUAUUGUUGGGUCUUAUUGAUGAAGACACUGGUAUUAUUGCUAAAGUACUCAAGUUGAUGGGAUAAAUUUAAAAGAUGCACGUGCAGAGGUAGAGAAGAUCAUUUCUAGGAGUAGUGUCAGCCAGACAAAGGAAGAUAAGAAAAUGCGGUAUAAUAUGGAGCAAGCGAGGAAUAUAAGAGAAGGGGAAGAAAUUAUGACAAUGGAUAUAAACAGACUACUGCUUGCUUUCAGAGGAAAACCCCUUUGCUUUUGUAAAUGACGGAGCAGCCGAUGCUAAAGAGUAUGUUGAGAAAAAUCGAGAUGAUUGUGAUGGUGAAAAGAAAGCCAUCUUUCAUGUCAUGAAUGAUGGUGACAUCCACCGUCUAGAGGCGUAUUUAGUAGAAGACCCCUUCAAGCUAGGUUCUUAUUAUCUUAUUGAAGAACUUACCUGUCUUAUCUUCAAGCGUAGUGUUGUUGCACAAAUACUCUCAUGGUAUAUUAUUUCCUACUUUAAAUAAGGGAUAUUGGUUUAUUUGAACUCUGAAAUAUUUUCUACUUCUCAUGUCAUGGAAUUUAUAUUAUAUAUAUAUAGUGCAGUUCAGUCA